AUUGAACGCUGGCGGCAUGCUUUACACAUGCAAGUCGAACGGUAACAGGGUGCUUGCACCGCUGACGAGUGGCGAACGGGUGAGUAGUGCGUCGGAACGUGCCGAGUAGUGGGGGAUAACGCAGCGAAAGUUGUGCUAAUACCGCAUACGUACUGAGGUAGAAAGUGGGGGACCUUCGGGCCUCACGCUAUUCGAGCGGCCGACGUCUGAUUAGCUAGUAGGUGAGGUAAAGGCUCACCUAGGCGAGGAUCAGUAGCGGGUCUGAGAGGAUGAGCCGCCACACGGGGAGUGAGAAACGGCCCAGACUCCUACGGGAGGCAGCAGUGGGUAAUUUUGGACAAUGGGCGAAAGCCUGAUCCAGCCAUGCCGCGUGUCUGAAGAAGGCCUUCGGGUUGUAAAGGACUUUUGUCGGGGAGGAAAUCCCCAGCGUUAAUACCGCUGGGGGAUGACAGUACCUGAAGAAUAAGCACCGGCUAACUACGUGCCAGCCGCCGCCGUAACAC
rnacentral:rRNA from 1 species